UCCUGGCUCAGAUUGAACGCGUGGCGGCAUGCUUAACACAUGCAAGUCGAACGCGAAAGUCCUUCGGGGGCGAGUAGAGUGGCGGACGGGUGAGUAACGCGUGGGAAUCUACCCUAGAGCGGGGGACAACCCGGGGAAACCCGGGCUAAUACCGCAUACGUCCUACGGGAGAAAGAGGGCCUCUGCUUGCACGCUCUCACUCCAGGAUGAGCCCACGUCCGAUUAGCUAGUUGGUAGGGUAAAGGCCUACCAAGGCCACGAUCGGUAGCUGGUCUGAGAGGAUGAUCAGCCACACUGGGACUGAGACACGGCCCAGACUCCUACGGGAGGCAGCAGUGGGGAAUAUUGGACAAUGGGCGCAAGCCUGAUCCAGCAAUGCCGCGUGUGUGAAGAAGGCCUGCGGGUUGUAAAGCACUUUCAGUGGGGAAGAACAGAUUCGGGUCAAUACCCCGGAGCCCUGACGUUACCCACAGAAGAAGCACCGGCUAACUCCGUG
rnacentral:rRNA from 1 species